AGGGGGCAAAAGCUGCCAAGAAGCAGAAGAGCCUGGAUGGCAGUAUCUCAACUACUGAAAUGCCUGAUUAUCUUCAAAACUACUCUACACUUGAAAUCUUCCUGAUCGUACUUCAAGAAUUCGUUCCAGGUGGAGGACACAGCAGCCAGGGCUAUGGGGAAGAAUCUGAGGACAAGAAGCUCAUUCUCCACUACUGCUCUCUGUGCUGGUGUCAAGCACACACAUUACGAAAGACACCUUCUUUUAUACCUUGGAAGAGAUCCUUUAUGUCAUGAUAUUUUAAGAAAUACGGCAGCUCCAGAAUGAGCAGGGCAGACAGUCACUUUAGGGUGUUCUGUAUUUACCUGUGUUUAAGGUGUAUAGCGGUUAUACACCAGCUAUAGUCAAAGCCUCAUGUUCCUUAGAAUGAUAGGGCCUCUGUGCUAAGUAUUAACAUCAGCUAGUAACACAAGCAUUCGGAUGUCAGGUGUAAAAUAUUCCCUUUCAAAUGCUUUAAUAUAAAAAAAACACAAUG